rnacentral:rRNA from 1 species
UGGUGUUCCGGUUGUCACGCCAGUGGCAUUGCCGGGUAGCUAUGUACGGAAGGGAUAACCGCUGAAAGCAUCUAAGCGGGAAGCCCACCCUGAGAUAAGGUUUCCCUGGAUCCUAGAGAUCCCUGAAGGGUCAUCGAAGACUACGAUGUUGAUAGGUCGGGUGUGGAAGCUCAGUAAUGAGUGAAGCUAACCGAUACUAAUUACCCGUGAGGCUUGGUCUUAUAACA